UCCUGGGAGCAAGAUGGCUGCCACCCAGCGCGAGCUGUUCGUUUUUGAGGUGGUGUGGGGACUCUACUGAGGCGAACCGAGCGGGUCUCUUGCGGCUCUGCUCCCCCAGCCUGUGAGCAGCGCCCGCGACCUUUGCUGAGCCCAGCGCUGCCCAGAACGCGUUCCCCUCUGACCCUGGCCUUGGGAGAGUUGGUGAGAUCUGUUAUCGUGACCUCGGACCGCAUUCCAAACUCUCAUGCCCAUUCAUUCCGUAAACUCCGCAGUCCUGGCCCCUUAGAAGAAGGAACUCACAGAGAAGGUGGGGAAUUAUGGAAAACAUCUUUACUGCAGGGGCUGGUGGGCUGGCAGAGGAGGUGGAGGACAGAGUUCUUCAUGCUGCUUCUGUUCCUUUUGGAGACAUCGCAGAUACUUAGUUUCUUCUGGUGAAACAGUGUGGGCAGUGAUGACUGCCCGAAGAAGUUUUCCGGGAAGACUCUCGAAGAGAAUAGAGAGGAAGAAGGGUCGGAGCCUGCCAGAGGGGAACCCAGGAGGGGGAGCCCAUGGCAAAAAAGGCCCGCUCAAACCCUCAGGUGUACAUGGACACCAAGACUGGGAACAAGCCAGCCGGCCGCAUCCAGAUGCUGCUGCGUCCGGACGUUGUCCCCGUGAUGGCAGGAAACCUCUUUAUUGGGCAAAGCCAGCCUACCCUUGGCCUACAAGGGACAAGGAAUGUGGAGAAGGAGGCAGGGAUCUCGCAAGGUCAGGGACCCAGACAUUUUGCGGGGCCAGCAGAGGGCAGAAGCGAGGGUGUUGAAUUUAUUCCUAAGUUUUUUAUUUUUUUGCUGUUAUUGGAAAUGGGGUUAUUUCUUUUUUCAAAGAUUUUAUUUAU